CGUUGGCCCGUACCGUAAACCGACACAGGUAGGUGAGUCGAAUAGACUAAGGAGCGCGAGAGAAAUCUCUCCAAGGAACUCGGCAAAUUAGCCCCGUAACCUAGGGAGAAGGGGUGCCCACUUCGGUGGGCCACAGUAAAUUGGGACUGGCGACUGUUUACCAAAAACACAGCUCUCUGCUAAGUCGUGAAGACGACGUAUAGGGAGUGACACGUGACCAAUGCGGAAAGAUUAAGGUGACUUGUUAGCACUUGAGGCGAAGCUCGGAGCCCAAGUCCUGGUGAAUGUCGGCCGUAACUAUAACGGUCCUAAGGUAGCGAAAUUCCUUGUCGGGUAAGUUCCGACCUGCACGAAUCGUGCAACGAGAUGGGCGCUGUCUCGACCAGGAGCUCAGUGAAAUUGUAUCCGCGGUGAAGAUGCCGCGUACCCGCAGAAGGACGGAAAGACCCUAUAGACCUUAACUGUAAGCUGUCACUGUUUUCUCGAUUUUAAUGCUCAGCAUAAGUGGGAGGCUUUGAACUGACCCUUUAGGGGGUCGGGGAGCCAACAGUGAGAU
rnacentral:rRNA from 1 species